GAACGGGGGGGGCGGGGUUAACCCAAUGAAGUCGAAGGAACCCCCUUUUUUUUUUUUUUUGGAAGGAAAAUUUUGGAAUGAAUGGGGGACCGGUGAUAACGGCGGGGGUACCUGCCUCAUUCCAGGGGGUACCAGUGGAAACGGUUGUUAUUCCCGCUAAGCGCACGUUUUCGCAUGAUCCAGGGGAAAAACUUCCGGUGGUAGGAGAUGACCCCGCGUGGGAUUAGCUAGUUGGUGGGUAACGAGCUACCAAGGCAACGAUCAGUACCCGACGUGAGAGGGUGACGGGCCACAUUGGGACUGAGACACGGCCCAAACUCUUACGGGAGGCAGCAGUGGGGAAUAUUGCACAAUGGGCGAAAGCCUGAUGCAGCGACGCCGCGUGAGCGAAGAAGUAUUUCGGUAUGUAAAGCUCUAUCAGCAGGGAAGAAGAAAUGACGGUACCUGACUAAGAAGCACCGGCUAAAUACGUGCCAGCAGCCGCGGUAAUACGUAUGGUGCAAGCGUUAUCCGGAUUUACUGGGUGUAAAGGGAGCGCAGGCGGUACGGCAAGUCUGAUGUGAAAGCCCGGGGCUCAACCCCGGUAUUGCAUUGGAAACUGUCGGACUAGAGUGUCGGAGGGGUAAGUGGAAUUCCUAGUGUAGCGGUGAAAUGCGUAGAUAUUAGGAGGAACACCAGUGGCGAAGGCGACUUACUGGACGAUAACUGACGCUGAGGCUCGAAAGCGUGGGGAGCAAACAGGAUUAGAUACCCUGGUAGUCCACGCUGUAAACGAUGAAUACUAGCUGUUGGGGAGCAUUGCUCUUCAGUGGCGCAGCAAACGCAAUAAG
rnacentral:rRNA from 1 species